GAGUGAACAUAUAACUACUUUCUAUUAAUAUUAAAUAAUAUUUCAGAAAUAUUAUAUUUAAUCUUAAAUAAUAUUGUAGCGCUUAUAGGAAACAUUCUUUUUUCGCAUUUUAACGUAAUUUUUUGCUCUGUCUGCAUAGAAAUACACGUGAGAAUCGUGCCGCAUUUGAAAUUAAUCGAGAAUGAAUGGCUCUCUUCUAGGCGACUCAUUCUCUCAUACGUAAUUGCAUAGCGCUAUCUCCUGUGUUGCGAAAUCCGUGAAUCCUUGGGCGAAACACAGAUAUCGCGAUCAGUUAAUCGUGAAGCUUUGCAGAAUUGCCAUCAUAAACGAUUUCAUCAAUUAAAGUAAUAUCUGUCGUUGUCGUGCAAUUAGUAAGUUUGCACUACGGCCGCUUAUCAGUCCGCUAGCAGUUUCUCUAUUGAAAAGAGCCGCGCAAAAUAUCGCGAAAACCUCUCCUCGCAAUCAUAAAUUUCACCUUGAAGGGCUGAUACGCGAAUUUUGUUCGAGCUACUUGAUAAAUAAGACGUUAAGAACAGAUGAUAAAAUAUUGAUCUUAUCGACCAAUCACAUUGAAAUGUAGCGAUAAGAAUUAAAGAAUCUUCAAUUAACGAUGAUUAUAUCGAAUAUAAUAAUUUUCUGAACAAAUAUGAUUAGAUUAUAACGCAAUGGAACUUUGCUGGUCGGUUGCGUUUUUUAACUGAUAUUUUUCGCAAGCCACGAAGAAACUGCACUAGAUAACAACGCCUCUCCCCUGCGUUGACAGCGUAAAAGCUAUGGUACGCGGCGGAAAUUUAUCACAUAACUCAUUUAUUAGAAUAUAACCGGUCUACCACGAUAACCGAUGCUAACCGGUCCAGUACGCACCGCAGACCGCAAGAUAUAAAAUUAAGAUGACGCAGCAUACCAAGAAAUGUAGAAUUUUGAUUAUAAAAAUGUCCUCAAGACAAAAUAAAUAUUAAAAGAAUUAGUAUGCGUUCAUUUUAUCGGUAACCACCGAGAUAACCAAGUUGGCCUACGUUGACUAUGGAAAUGUACCCAUGGAAAAAUACAAGCAUUCAAUUGACAAGACUUAAAGAGACCGUCUUCCACUAUCUACGUCUCUAUUUGUAAAUAAUGUCCAAAUGGAAAAUUUAAAAACGCAAACGACAUCCUGCCAUUGUUAUGAGCUUUAAGUGUUUUGCAAUUAAGAUUGUAAUUUCGUACAGGAAAGUUUUUAAAUCGCGAUUUGAAAAGCGAUGUUAUAUAAUAUAGACAGAUCGCGUUACUGGAAUUUAAGUUUAUUUUGUAUUUUGCAGCCACUAUUUAGAGAAUCGGUGCCAAGAUGCGUGGUCUCUCGGAAGAGAAUCCAAAAUAGCUAACGCUUUCAGCGGCUGGUCAGUGACCGACGCGCGUUUUGCAAUUUCUGAUAACGACGUACGAAACAAAGUACGCCUCUACAUGUAAAUACAAAUGCUCAUAAAUAUAUUUUUAAAAAACAAUAAAAUCUUUUGAAAAUCGACUUAUAUCCUAUAAGAAAAUAUAAAAUUUAUAAAAUG